CUUUCCCCUUCGGGGGACAAAGUGACAGGUGGUGCAUGGUUGUCGUCAGCUCGUGUCGUGAGAUGUUGGGUUAAGUCCCGCAACGAGCGCAACCCUUAAGCUUAGUUGCCAUCAUUAAGUUGGGCACUCUAAGUUGACUGCCGGUGACAAACCGGAGGAAGGUGGGGAUGACGUCAAAUCAUCAUGCCCCUUAUGAUUUGGGCUACACACGUGCUACAAUGGACAAUACAAAGGGCAGCGAAACCGUGAGGUCAAGCAAAUCCCAUAAAGUUGUUCUCAGUUCGGAUUGUAGUCUGCAACUCGACUACAUGAAGCUGGAAUCGCUAGUAAUCGUAGAUCAGCAUGCUACGGUGAAUACGUUCCCGGGUCUUGUACACACCGCCCGUCACACCACGAGAGUUUGUAACACCCGAAGCCGGUGGAGUAACCUUUUAGGAGCUAGCCGUCGAAGGUGGGACAAAUGAUUGGGGUGAAGUCGUAACAAGGUAGCCGUAUCGGAAGGUGCGGCUGGAUCACCUCCUUUCUAAGGAUAUAUUCGGAAC
rnacentral:rRNA from 4 species